GACGUAGGGUGCGAGCGUUGUCCGGAUUUAUUGGGCGUAAAGAGCUCGUAGGCGGCUUGUCGCGUCGACCGUGAAAACUUGGGGCUCAACCCAAGCCUGCGGUCGAUACGGGCAGGCUAGGGUUCGGUAGGGGAGACUGGAAUUCCUGGUGUAGCGGUGAAAUGCGCAGAUAUCAGGAGGAACACCGGUGGCGAAGGCGGGUCUCUGGGCCGAUACUGACGCUGAGGAGCGAAAGCGUGGGGAGCGAACAGG
rnacentral:rRNA from 1 species